rnacentral:rRNA from 1 species
CUUCGGGAAUUUGAGACAGGUGCUGCCAUGGCUGUCGUCAGCUCGUGUUGUGAAAUGUUGGGUUAAGUCCCGCAACGAGCGCAACCCUUAUCCUUUGUUGCCAGCGGUCCGGCCGGGAACUCAAAGGAGACUGCCAGUGAUAAACUGGAGGAAGGUGGGGAUGACGUCAAGUCAUCAUGGCCCUUACGAGUAGGGCUACACACGUGCUACAAUGGCAUAUACAAAGAGAAGCGACCUCGCGAGAGCAAGCGGACCUCAUAAAGUAUGUCGUAGUCCGGAUUGGAGUCUGCAACUCGACUCCAUGAAGUCGGAAUCGCUAGUAAUCGUAGAUCAGAAUGCUACCGGUGAAUACGUUCCCGGGCCUUGUACACACCGCCCGUCACACCAUGGGAGUGGGUUGCAAAAGAAGUAGGUAGCUUAACCUUCGGGAGGGCGCUUACCACUUUGUGAUUCAUGA